GAUUGGUUGAUGCCUUUAUUCACAAUGCGAAGGCUCAGAAAAAUCGACCACGUUCCGAAGAAGAAAAAAACGUUGCCUUUUUGCUGCGUAAUAUUCGCGUUCUGUGUGAAAGUAUUCAAAACAAAAACGACGAAGUAAUCGCACAACAAAACACUGCCGGUAUGUAAAGGCCUUAACUAAGUUGUUUUGUUGCCUAAACCUAACCGCCACCGUUUCACAACGUUAACCAUGAGCCAACCUUCUGCGUCAAGAUACUAUAUAAAAGACUAUCCCCGUCAGCAAUCUGGUAACGCCAGAGGCUUCUGCCCAAGCGGCAAAAUAUGACACUUACGGAUGAGAUCACGUUGAAUUUUGCGUCAUUACUACUGAGAGCUAUGGAAUCCCAUGAUAACUUUUGCAUCUUUUAAAUAUGACACACUGCCUGGUGUUUACAUGCCAUGGACACUUUUUUUUGUUCCAUUGUAGGCUUUUUGGGGAGCACUCUUUAGUGCAUAAAUUUCACACUGAGAAUUUGGCCACUCAAAUAAAACAGCAAAGGGUAAAUUUAGAGCACAAUGUAGUAAACAGGGAGCGAUUUCAGACGCAGCCAAGGAAUGUGGAUUACAGAACAUAGAAUAGGAUAGAAUAGAAGAGAAUAUGCCUGAUUAGCACUGAGACUAAAUAGGCCCUGCCAAUUCAAAAGGCUUGAUAUGGACAAAAGUAUGCCAGUUCUGGGACGUGUGUUUGUAUAAAAAAUGGGUCUAUGUGUGUGGCUGAAUGUGUGCCCUCAUCAUUUGCAUGUAUCCGUGUGUGUUGGCGUGUGUGUGUGAUUGCACAUGUGUUAUUUGAACACAGAGGGCUUGGAUUCAGCAUCAAAGGCCCAUUCACAGUGAAGUGGCAGAGGCAGUCGAUCUGCCUGCCACCAGCUCUAAUUAGUCAUUCACACUGGUUAUCGCCAAUCAGCAUCUUCUUUUAGCUCUCGAGAGCUAACGCCACACAGAGAGGCACGCACACACAAAUAUACACACGCACAAAUAAACACUCGCAGAAGCAUACUUGCAUCCUCGCUCCAGAUAAAGCAAAGAUGGUCGGAGGGUAUAUCACAACAUAAACAGCAAAGCAAAUAGGGUUGGAAGCCUGUACCAACACAAAGGCAUUCAUUAAAGGAGCAUGGCUAAGUGCAUAUACAUUUAAAUGAAAAGGACAGGAGCUAUAGGAAGCUGAAACACAUGAUGUUCCUUUCUACAGUUACCAGUUCUGUCAGUGGUGAUCAUCCAUCUGUGCAAGGCCUGGUUUAGAGCGGUACGGAGUGUUUAUAUUCGAUGCAAAGGCAUAUGAAACAUGCAAAAGCACCCAGGUAGAGAAGCAUCUGUUUCCCUGUCACUCCGGGACUUCUCCUGGUGCCCCGCCAAAGUGUGUGUUAUAACAAGGCCUCCAACCGUAACCACUGAGACGAACAACAGAGCAGCUCUUUGGAUGUCCUGUUAGCUGACUGCAGCUUCAGGUCCCUGACAGCUGCUUCACAACAAACACACACACAAAUAAAAUGCCACCCAGCCCUACUUGGCAUUCUGUUUUAGGUAACAUCACUUUGUGUGUGCGCGCACAAGUGUUAGAGGGGUAUGACAGCGCUGAUUGAACCACAAUCGGACAAUGAAUACCAAUCUGUGCAUUCCCAAUCUGUUCUGCCAACCUUUCUCCUUCCCUGUCCUUGUGUUACCAGGCUUUUAGUAGCAGCUGCACAGCCACCGUGUCUGUCAGUGUUAUCUAUGACACAGAGACUCUAGAUACCCUUUAGGGGUCCUUCAGUAUCCACAGGGUGCCUGUGAAAUGAAAACUUCAGCAGACAGUUUCCCAUGCAGAAUAAGAAUGGCUAGUCUUACAACACAGGUGGUUUCCCCAUUGCCACCU